rnacentral:sRNA from 1 species
AUGAGCUCUGUUGCGCAAUUGUUUACUGUUGUUUCUUUUGCAUUAUCAAACGUGUUUUGUUAAGCUAUAUAUAUAUAUUCCCUUACCGGUAUAUACUAGAGUCUAUAUCUCAACAUUAUUUUACUUCAACGUCAUCAUCUUCUGUUUUGAAGUCACAUCUGUUAUUUAUAAGAUUAUAUAGAUCUAAUGGAUGUAAACAGUUUUCUAGACUUAAGCUUAGUACAACUUCGAGAAGAAUGUAAAAAAAGAGGUGCCAAGAUAGCUGGAAGAAAGAAAGAUCUGAUUGACAGACUAAAUGUCUAUGAAAGAAACUGUAAUUUUGGAAGAAAAGUAGAUGAUACUGACUAUGGUUACUCCAUGUGCAUUCCCAAUUUAAAUUACAUUGAUGUGAAUUCAGAAACAAUUUUUUCCUGAUGUCACAGAAAGAUCAUAUUUGGACCAGUUCAAUACACAAAUCAGCAAAACUGCAAAAUUACUUAAUGAUGAAAGGUACAUUGUGUUUUUGAAACAUGGAGAUUCUGACAGCUAUGUAUUUUUUAAAGCAGCAAUAUUCACCCAAAUGAAGAAAGUAAAGUAUCUAACAGAUUAAAAAAUGGACGAAAAUGGCAUAAUAUUUGAAGCGCAAUAUCAGCAAUGUGAGUGUCCAGUUGGCAUGGGUCCAAAUGCACACUGUAAACACAUACAAGUGAUACUCUAUGGACUAAGUAGAUAUAACAAGGAUAAAGAAUUGAAAAUUUAGCUAAUAUGUACAGAAAAAUUACAACAAUUCCAUGUAGUAAAAAAACAUACAGGUUCACCUGUAAAAGCAGAGUCUUGGAAACUUUUGGUUCCAGACAAUAUAAUCUAUGAUCCCCGCACAUACAAAAUGCCUAAGGAAAAUUAUAAUUCAUUUUUUAGAAACAUUUGGAUGUCUGCUAAAGAUGUCCCACAAAGCCCUUUUUUCCAAAUAUAUGAGCCUGCCAAUAUUUGUGCUUAUGUCAAUGACCAUGAGUACACUAAAGUUCCUUUAAUGGAUAUUUAUUUUAAAAGAAAAGUAUAGGCCUUUAAGAUGAUACAAAUGAGGAUAUUAUUAAAAUAAAAAAGAAACCUAGAGGACAGUCAUUAAAUAAAUUAUGGAUUGAAGAAAGACUAAAAAGGGUUCAGUCAUCAAAUUUUGUUAGUAUUUGUAAGGCAAGAGAUAUAACUGUAUUGGAUAAUUUAGCAUUGAAAUGUCUGAAAAAGGUUAAAUUAAAAACUAGUGCAAUUAAACAUGGGCAUGAAUAUGAAGCCACUGCUAUCAAAAAGUAUAAAUUGUAUAGUGGCCUUGCAGUACAAAGAUGUGGAAUUUUCAUUUCUUAUCAAUUUCCAUUUUCGGGAUCUUCUCCUGAUGGGAUUGUUAAAUUGCCAGAUGGCACUAUGGAAGUAAUUGAAGUUAAAUGUCCAUACGUGGCAAGGGAAAAAUGCAUUGAUGUAACUACUGUGCCAUACCUAUGUGUCACAGAUGAGGGAAUUUCUCUAAAAAAAAAGUCAUAAUUAUUAUUACCAAGUUCAAUGUCAAAUGUUGUGUACAAAAGCUAAGAUUGUUACAUAUAUUACCUUCACCUUGUAAUAUUUUAAAAUCAUAACCAUACAUAGAGAUGAUGAGUUCAUCAAAAUAAUGGUAGACAAAUAGUUUUAUUUUAUGAAAAUCACUUUUAAAAUGUUUUGCUACAGUCAAAUUUCUUCAAAUCAAGUUUUGAUUGAUUUUUUACUAUUGUAACUUUGCAAUUAAAACUUCCAACUGUCAUCAUGCAUGUACCAGGUUUUAACCCUGCUGUUUUGAAGAAACAUCCAAACAAGGAAAUGUUAUUUUUUUUAUUUCUAACAAUGCAAAAUCAAUGUAUUUUGAAAAAUUAACCCAAGUAAUAAAAACAUUCUGAACUGUAUAACUAGAAACAUUAAACAUUCUUGCUACUUCAUCUAUAGGAAAAUAAUGUCUUAGCCUAACAAGCAUUAAUAAAAAAUGGUCAACACUACUCAAACAAUCACAAGAUUGUGAAUAAAUGUAUUUCAGAUUAUAUACACUUAGACCAAGAGAAUGAAAUACUGUUAAAAAAUUUGAUGCAGUCUCCAACCCAGUGUAAUGAUUAAUAAUAGAAUCUUGAUUUUUAUUUUUUUCAAGCACUAAUUUUCACAUGUUCUUCAAUAUUUUAUCAUGACAAAGUGGAUAACUAUCUUCAGGAGAUGCACUGAAAAUAAUAUCUGUAUUAUCACAUGUAUAAUUAAAAACUUGUUCUGAUCCAACGACUUGCUCUUCCGUUACCACAUUAUUUGAAUUAAUAAUUUGUUCUGAUCCAAUGACUAGUUAGAUAUUAGCAGAUCCUCUGAAUUAAUAACUGCAUCUGAUUUAAUGAAGGCUUCAUCAUUCAUUUGUAUAGAAUUUACUUGACAGCAUGUAGAUAUUUCUUCAGUGUUCAUUUGUUCGCAACAUUUUCUGUUCUUCUUUUUGUCCAAAGUCCAUUUAAAUACAGAG